UUCAUUUCAAAUAAUGUUAGGUAUGUAUAUACAUAUGUAAAGUAUUUGAAAUGAAUUCCUUGCUAACAUGGCUCUAAAGUAAGUUCAUUAAGAGAGUUGAAGAAUAAAGCCAAGAGUCACAGAACAACAUAAAAUAAGACUCCGAAAGUAGGAAUUUAUGAGGCCAAUGAGAGUCAUUUAAGAGCUUCAAAAAGAGUUCAAAAUGAGCCGUAUAUGAGCCCAAUAAGAGUCCAAUAUGACUCAUAUUGAGGCUCUUUUGAUGUAUGAAUUUAAGCUCUUAUAGGUCGACCUUCGCAGGAAGGGAAACACCCUCAUUUCGGACUCUUAAAUGAGCUCAUUAUGAGCACAAAGGCUCCACAAUUGGACUCCUUA